rnacentral:rRNA from 1 species
AUUGAACGCUGGCGGCAUGCCUUACACAUGCAAGUCGAACGGUAACGGGCUUUCGGGUGCCGACGAGUGGCGAACGGGGGCGUAAUACAUCGGAAUGUGCCCGAUCGUGGGGGAUAACGAGGCGAAAGCUUUGCUAAUACCGCAUACGAUCUACUGAUGAAAGCAGGGGACCGCAAGGCCUUGUGGGGACGGACCGGCCGAUGGCAGAUUAGGUAGUUGGUGGGAUAAAAGCUUACCAAGGCGACGAUCUGUAGCUGGUCUGAGAGGAUGAUCAGCCACACUGGGACUGAGACACGGCCCAGACUCCUACGGGAGGCAGCAGUGGGGAAUUUUGGACAAUGGGCGCAAGCCUGAUCCAGCCAUGCCGCGUGCAGGAUGAAGGCCUUCGGGUUGUAAACUGCUUUUGUACGGAACGAAAAGCCUUCUUUUAAUACAGGAGGGUCAUGACGGUACCGUAAGAAUAAGCACCGGCUAACUACGUG